rnacentral:rRNA from 1 species
AAAAGUCGUAACAAGGUCUCCGUUGGUGAACCAGCGGAGGGAUCAUUACCGAGUUUACAACUCCCAAACCCCUGUGAACAUACCACUUGUUGCCUCGGCGGAUCAGCCCGCUCCCGGUAAAACGGGACGGCCCGCCAGAGGACCCCUAAACUCUGUUUCUAUAUGUAACUUCUGAGUAAAACCAUAAAUAAAUCAAAACUUUCAACAACGGAUCUCUUGGUUCUGGCAUCGAUGAAGAACGCAGCAAAAUGCGAUAAGUAAUGUGAAUUGCAGAAUUCAGUGAAUCAUCGAAUCUUUGAACGCACAUUGCGCCCGCCAGUAUUCUGGCGGGCAUGCCUGUUCGAGCGUCAUUUCAACCCUCAAGCACAGCUUGGUGUUGGGACUCGCGUUAAUUCGCGUUCCCCAAAUUGAUUGGNGGUCACGUCGAGCUUCCAUAGCGUAGUAGUAAAACCCUCGUUACUGGUAAUCGUCGCGGCCACGCCGUUAAACCCCAACUUCUGAAUGUUGACCUCGGAUCAGGUAGGAAUACCCGCUGAACUUAAGCAUAUCAAUAA